CAGUAGCCGCGGUAAUACCAGCAGCCCAAGUGGUGGUCGCGAUUAUUGGGCCUAAAGCGCUCGUAGCCGGGCCGGUAAGUCCCUUGUGAAAUCGGACGGCCUAACCGUUCGGCGUGCAAGGGAUACUGUCGGUCUUGAGGCCGGGAGACGUCCGAGGUACUCCGGGGGUAGCGGUGAAAUGUUCUGAUCCUCGGGGGACCACCGGUGGCGAAGGCGUUCGACGAGAACGGGCCUGACGGUGAGGGGCGAAGGCUAGGGGAGCAAACGGGAUUAGAGACCCGCGUAGUCCCUGUCUCUUAUU
rnacentral:rRNA from 1 species